UUCAGCAGUUGGAAAGAUGAGCUCACUUCUGAAGACACAUAACUGGAAGGCAGUGAUGAACAGUAAGCCAGAGACGGCCACUCUUCUGCAGCCAAAGCAAAUAGACUCAUAUCAGAUAAGCACUUCAAUUAAAGACUUGUAUGCUCGCUUUCAGGGAGGUGGAAAGUUCUAAAGUGUCAGCUUUUGCUGAUCCAGCCAUCUGGCCUGAGCUCUUCCUGCCUAUCCUCCCCCACUAAUAAAAGUUGUCAUAGUUUUCUGGAUGGGAUCUGCUGCAGAGGGGAAGUCCUUGAAACCCUGAUUCAAUGGAGGACAUUAGAGAGCUUCUGAGGCUUCAUUGGAUAUUAAGGUGUUCACAUUCAGGAUAGAAUUAAUAAGGACACCAUAGGAGUUCUCCUGUGGUGCAGCUGGUUAAGGAUCUGGCACUGUCACUGCAGUGGCUUGGGUCGCUGCUGUCAUGCAGGUUCGAUCCCUGGCCCAGGAACUUUUACAUGCCUCCUCCCCCAAAAAAAGAUAAAUAAGAAAAUUCGACAAAGCGCAAAAGAGACAAUGGCCCAUUCCUAUCGCGAUAGGAUGAUGGUACUUGAUUUCACCCAGGAAUAAUGUGUUGUGAAACAAGACAAGAGGACUCAGAUUGACUCAUCUAUCCAUCACGUAAGAACCUCCAUCCUCUAAGGCAGACGAACAGAAACGCGAGAAAGCUACAGAGAAGGGGCGGCCAAAGACAUAUGUGUAAAGAGAGAUGGUGUCCUAGGAACCAAGAGAGAUUAUUUCAAGAAGUGGUCGGUAGUUUCGAAUGCUUCUGAUAAAGCAAGAAUGGAAAAGUCCAUGGGACAUACUUGAAUCUCUGGCAGCAUCUGGCACAGUCUCGUUUACAUGGUAGGAAACGAUGUAUUUAUUGAGCUGAAGUAUAGAGAACAAGAAGGAAGACAGGAACAUCUGAACUUUGUUACUAACGCUACUGUUCAGCAGAUCAUCUGUUCCAAACUGUAGAAAUUUAAAUCUUUCCCAUGACUUCUGAGUGUAGCCUCCACUUGGAACAUUUUCUCAGCUUUCCUUAAGCACCGGGAGCAUCUUCCCUGUUGUUACAUGUUGUUCCAAAAACGACUGUUAAUGACUGCAAAAUAUUCCCUUAUUUGGAAGUACCAUGAUUUAUUUAGCCAUUCUCUUGGGGAUUUAGACAGUUUUUAAUGUUUCACUACUAUGAUAACUUUCCCCCCUAACUAUGCUUUUAGGUAACUCUUCAGCCACACUAUUUCCUUGGGCUAGAUUCCUAAAAUAGCAUUGCUUAUUUCUGUUUUUACUCACUUAUAUAGUUCAUUUCAUAAAUGCUGUAAGGAUGGCAGAAAAGUUCCAAAUGGCAUUAAGAAAGGCGUGAAGGUAAGUGUUCUAAAAAUCGGUAGAGGAGUUCCUGUUGUGGCUUAGCAGUAAGAAACUCAACUAGUAUCCAUGAGUAUGAGGGUUCGAUCCCUGGCCUCGCUCAGUGGGUUAUGGAUCCCGUGUUGUCGUGAGCUGCAGUGUAGGUUGUAGCUGCGGCUCCUAUUUGACCCCUAGCCUGAGAACUUCCAUGUGUCGUGGGUGCGGCCCUAAAAAGACGGAAAAAAAACAUUGGUUGAGAAUGAGAGCAGAAGUAAAUUUAGUAGAGAAUAGAGAUGCUGGGAGGACUGGACGGGUAUGAACUUCAGAUCUGAAGGUGCGGUGAUUUAUUCUUAACCCAGCACCCAGAGACUAGACUAGCUACGUAACUUGUGGGGCUCAGUGGGAAACAGAAACGCAGAGUGCCUUUUCAAAAAUUAUUACGACUUUCAAAAUGGCAAUAAGAGAGACAUGAAACCAAGGUCCUUCUAAGGAGAAGGUCUUGAGCGACUUCAUAGGUCACACCUAUGAUACUGGCCUUGCCCAGAGGUUAUGGGGUCCCCCCAAGUUUCGGGCCAAUUAAAAUGUACAGGAGGAGUUCCCUUGUGGCACAGCAGGUUAAGGAUCUGGCAUUGCCACUACAACAGCUUGGGUCACUGCUGUGGUGCAAGUUCGAUCCGCAGCCUAGGAAUUUCCAUGUGCCUUGGGUGCAGCCAAAUAAAAUAAAAUAAAAUGUGCAGGAGACUGAGGGAGGUACCCAUAUAUCACUCUUUUAACUUAUAGGACAAUAGAACAGCACGUAGAGUGGAGCCCCAACAUAUGGGGUCGCCUCUAGACUUUAUUGCCAAAGUGUGUAAGCUCUCAGACAAGGCACUCAACUGCUGUAAACUCUUCAAAUAUUAGCGACUGGAUUAUCUCUAAAAAACCCUGCAGGUUCUGAUCUCUCCAUUUGGAUUGUGAGUAUCUGGGCAAGAGAACUCUGUUUUUUUAAACUUAUUACCUGUAGGAACCAGGGUGGUUAAUUUUUUUUUCUUCUUUUUCCAGCCGUACCUAUGGCUUAUGGAGGUUCCCA
rnacentral:lncRNA from 1 species